GACGAACGCUGGCGGCGUGCCUAAUACAUGCAAGUCGAGCGAACCAAUAAGAAGCUUGCUUUUUGUUGGUUAGCGGCGGACGGGUGAGUAACACGUGGGUAACCUGCCUGUAAGACCGGGAUAACUCCGGGAAACCGGUGCUAAUACCGGAUAGAUUAUCUUUCCGCAUGGAGAGAUAAGGAAAGAUGGCUAUUGCCAUCACUUACAGAUGUGCCCGCGGCGCAUUAGCUAGUUGGUGAGGUAACGGCUCACCAAGGCGACGAUGCGUAGCCGACCUGAGAGGAUGAUCAGCCACACUGGAACUGAGACACGGCCCAGACUCCUACGGGAGGCAGCAGUAGGGAAUAUUCCGCAAUGGGCGAAAGUCUGACGGAGCAACGCCGCGUGAGCGAAGAAGGUCUUCGGAUCGUAAAGCUCUGUUGUUAGGGAAGAACAAGUAUCGGAGGAAAUGCCGGUACCUUGACGGUACCUAACGAGAAAGCCACGGCUAACUACGUG
rnacentral:rRNA from 1 species